AUUGAACGCUGGCGGAAUGCUUUACACAUGCAAGUCGAACGGCAGCACGGACUUCGGUCUGGUGGCGAGUGGCGAACGGGUGAGUAAUAUAUCGGAACGUGCCCAGUCGUGGGGGAUAACGUAGCGAAAGCUACGCUAAUACCGCAUACGAUCUACGGAUGAAAGCGGGGGAUCGCAAGACCUCGCGCGAUUGGAGCGGCCGAUAUCAGAUUAGGUAGUUGGCGAGGUAAAGGCUCACCAAGCCGACGAUCUGUAGCUGGUCUGAGAGGAUGACCAGCCACACUGGGACUGAGACACGGCCCAGACUCCUACGGGAGGCAGCAGUGGGGAAUUUUGGACAAUGGACGCAAGUCUGAUCCAGCCAUUCCGCGUGCAGGACGAAGGCCUUCGGGUUGUAAACUGCUUUUGUACAGAACGAAAAGGUCUCUAUUAAUACUAGGGGCUCAUGACGGUACUGUAAGAAUAAGCACCGGCUAACUACGUGCCAGCAGCCGCGGUAA
rnacentral:rRNA from 1 species